rnacentral:lncRNA from 1 species
AACGGCUCCUGCCUAAUGCACGAGAGAACGACCUCUGUCCAAAGCCAGCAGCGAUUGACGUCACAGACAGAGCGUCUCGGAGACUCGCCGGAAGAAUCAGAAUCAUACUAAUGAAAUCCUCAUCUCCUGCUUUUAUCUGUCUACAAAAUGAAGUUAAGAGCGAUGCUGCCACCGAAUCUACUUCAUGCUUCCUGUAUGUGCACGUGUGGAGAACGAUCUACUAAAGCGUGGGUUUCUUCUCAGGAUGGGCAUCCUGGAAGAAAAUUGAUUCUCCCUUCCCUAGUGGCCACCAGUUAUCACGAGCCCCUUGCCAGCCUACAUUGGAUUUUUGCUGCUGUGAUCUUAUGUAUGUCGUGUACAUGCAUCUGCAGUCACGGUGAGUUCUAGUGUGCAGCUGUGCAGUCAUGGCUAACAAAAACGUUGUCACUAAAAAUGCCCACCACCUCUUCCCAUCUCUCUACUCCUUUUUCAGUGAUCUCAGGGGCCUUGCAAGAAAGGUGUUCCAUUUAGAGAUAUGUACCCACAGUGUUAUUCUCUGCCCACUGAACAGAUGUGGGUCUUUGUUAUUAAUUACAAUCGAUUGCAAAAAGGCGGUUCUCUGGUUAAGGAUGAGAGAUGCACAAAUCUGUGGUAUAACACAGUGGGCAGUUUAUUCCUAUGUUUAUUUAAUAUUAGGUUCUCCUCUAUGACCUAUGAUGUAGCCAGUCAUAUGUGGUUUGGUUUGGUUUGGUUUUGGCCUCAUUACUGAUACUCAUCAUGAGUUCUGUCUUAUAGAAUGGGCUUUAAGUCUAGAAUGUAGAUAGUUACCUCUAUACCAUUUGAGCCACUGUUGAACCAAUCCGUAUAUCAUGUCAAGCCAUGGUGUUCAUAGAACCUUGCGAAUGACCCUACUCUUUUUUUGGUGCUUAUUCUGUGAGAUCUAAGGCACAGAUAACUCCAGAUCUCAAAAUAAGACAAAAUUUCAGCAGUUCAUAAUCUUUAAAAUUCAUUAAAUGUAUAUAUUUACCUAGUGUUUAUAUGAAAACUGAGGGUUAAAACCACAACACAGUGUUUUAACUCUAAGAAACCUUUUACAACAAGAUACUAUUGAAUGUAUUAAAGAAAAAAGAGGCACGGUCUAUUACUGUAUGAUGUACUACAGAUUUCAUGAGAACAUGUCACUGUGAGAAAAUGUAUAUUUAUGUAGGAUAAAUACCAUGUGUACUUAUUAUGUGUGAGUGGGAAUUCAACUUUCAGUUUGCUUAAUAAUUUUGUGAUUUUGAUAACUUUGUGAUUUUUUGUUCAAGUGUUGAAUGGCCAAUGAAAUACACAUUUAGGUGAAAAA